rnacentral:tRNA from 1 species
UCCCUUGUGUCUCAGGCGGUAAAGAAUCUGCCUGCAAUGCAGGAGACCUGGGUUCGAUCCCUGAGUUGGAA